AGAGUUUGAUCAUGGCUCAGAACGAACGCUGGCGGCAUGCCUAACACAUGCAAGUCGAACGGGAUCCGGACUUCGGUCCGGUGAGAGUGGCGGACGGGUGAGUAACACGUGGGAACCUGCCUUUGGUUCGGGAUAACCGCGGGAAACUGCGGCUAAUACCGGAUGCUCCCGAGAGGGAAAAGAUUUAUCGCCAGAAGAGGGGCCCGCGUCCGAUUAGGUAGUUGGUGGGGUAAUGGCCUACCAAGCCGACGAUCGGUAGCUGGUCUGAGAGGAUGAUCAGCCACACUGGGACUGAGAUACGGCCCAGACUCCUACGGGAGGCAGCAGUGGGAAUAUUGGACAAUGGGGGCAACCCUGAUCCAGCAAUGCCGCGUGAGUGAUGAAGGCCUUAGGGUUGUAAAGCUCUUUUGCCAGGGAAGAUGAUGACUGUACCUGGAGAAUAAGCCCCGGCUAACUUCGUG
rnacentral:rRNA from 1 species